AUUGAACGCUGGCGGCAGGCCUAACACAUGCAAGUCGAGCGAGCGGCGGACGGGUGAGUAAUGUCUGGGAAACUGCCUGAUGGAGGGGGAUAACUACUGGAAACGGUAGCUAAUACCGCAUACCAUCAGAUGUGCCCAGAUGGGAUUAGCUAGUAGGUGGGGUAACGGCUCACCUAGGCGACGAUCCCUAGCUGGUCUGAGAGGAUGAGCAGCCACACUGAAACUUAGACACGGUCGAGACUCCUACGGGAGGCAGCAUCGGGGAAUAUUGCACAAUGGGCGCAAGCCUGAUGCAGCCAUGCCGCGGGUGGGAAGAAGGCCUGCGGGUUGUAAAGCACUUUCAGCGGGGAGGCGUUACCCGCAGAAGAAGCACCGGCUAACUCCGUGCCAGCAGCCGCGGUAAUUC
rnacentral:rRNA from 1 species